AUGUGUUGUGCAGCUCAGCUGAACCUAGGACUCACAGGGGAGUGUUCCAUCCAUCAGGACACGUGCCGUGGCAUCGUAUGUUUUGUGAACAUUUCAAGCAGUCAUCAAGGCCAUGCUGAAGGGAUAGAGAAUGGUUCUAACAUCUAACAUCUGGAGACCACAUUUUCAGUUUGGACAAGGCAUGGUUCCAUAAGGAUUGGGGAAAUGACAUAUGCUGCUCUUAGCAGUGACAGUGACUACAGAUUCACAUAUAAAAGCUGAGAUGAAACCCAGGAUCAUAAGGAGUUCAGACAGUAAGUCUACUUGCC